rnacentral:rRNA from 1 species
UACGUAGGGCGCAAGCGUUAUCCGGAAUUAUUGGGCGUAAAGAGCUCGUAGGCGGUCUGUCGCGUCGGCUGUGAAAACCCGGGGCUCAACCCCGGGCCUGCAGUCGAUACGGGCAGACUAGAGUGAUGUAGGGGAGACUGGAAUUCCUGGUGUAGCGGUGAAAUGCGCAGAUAUCAGGAGGAACACCGAUGGCGAAGGCAGGUCUCUGGGCAUCUACUGACGCUGAGGAGCGAAAGCAUGGGGAGCGAACAGG